GACGAACGCUGGCGGCGUGCUUAACACAUGCAAGUCGAACGGAAAGGCCCUGCUUUUGUGGGGUGCUCGAGUGGCGAACGGGUGAGUAACACGUGAGUAACCUGCCCUUGACUUUGGGAUAACUUCAGGAAACUGGGGCUAAUACCGGAUAGGAGCUCCUGCUGCAUGGUGGGGGUUGGAAAGUUUCGGCGGUUGGGGAUGGACUCGCGGCUUAUCAGCUUGUUGGUGGGGUAGUGGCUUACCAAGGCUUUGACGGGUAGCCGGCCUGAGAGGGGGACCGGCCACGUUGGGACUGAGAUACGGCCCAGACUCCUACGGGAGGCAGCAGUGGGGAAUAUUGCACAAUGGGCGGAAGCCUGAUGCAGCAACGCCGCGUGCGGGAUGACGGCCUUCGGGUUGUAAACCGCUUUCGCCUGUGACGAAGCGUGAGUGACGGUAAUGGGUAAAGAAGCACCGGCUAACUACGUG
rnacentral:rRNA from 1 species